rnacentral:rRNA from 1 species
UACGUAGGGGGCAAGCGUUGUCCGGAAUUAUUGGGCGUAAAGCGCGUGUAGGCGGCUCGGUAAGUCUGCUGUGAAAGUCCAAGGCUCAACCUUGGAAAGCCGGUGGAUACUGUCGAGCUCGAGUCCGGAAGAGGCGAGUGGAAUUCCUGGUGUAGCGGUGAAAUGCGCAGAUAUCAGGAGGAACACCAAUUGCGAAGGCAGCUCGCUGGGACGUUACUGACGCUGAGACGCGAAAGCGUGGGGAGCAAACAGG